UUGAACGCUGGCGGCAGGCCUAACACAUGCAAGUCGAGCGGAUGAAGGGAGCUUGCUCCUGGAUUCAGCGGCGGACGGGUGAGUAAUGCCUAGGAAUCUGCCUGGUAGUGGGGGAUAACGUCCGGAAACGGGCGCUAAUACCGCAUACGUCCUGAGGGAGAAAGUGGGGGAUCUUCGGACCUCACGCUAUCAGAUGAGCCUAGGUCGGAUUAGCUAGUUGGUGGGGUAAAGGCCUAUCAAGGCGACGAUCCGUAACUGGUCUGAGAGGAUGAUCAGUCACACUGGAACUGAGACACGGUCCAGACUCCUACGGGAGGCAGCAGUGGGGAAUGUUGGACAAUGGGCGAAAGCCUGAUCCAGCCAUGCCGCGUGCGUGAAGAAGGUCUUCGGAUUGUAAAGCACUUUAAGUUGGGAGGAAGGGCAGUAAGUUAAUACCUUGCUGUUUUGACGUUACCAACAGAAUAAGCACCGGCUAACUUCGUG
rnacentral:rRNA from 1 species